rnacentral:lncRNA from 1 species
GAGUCCCGAUCGCAUCUGUWUCAACCAUCGCCGCAUGUGCUCCCCAUCCCGCUCUAAACUCCUCGUGAUCCACUCCUUUGUGCUGUCUGGAUCCAGCGUAGGGAUGUCUUCCAGUUUCAUCCCAUCCAAGGGAGAAAUAUAAGAGGGAGAGAGGAUGGAGCACAGCGGCGGUGCCGGCCUAAGCGCCGCUCGAGCGCCGGUCGCCGCUUCUACUUCCAAGCGAGGCG